AUCACUUCUAGACCUUUUAGCUAAGAUCAAGUGUAGUAUCUGUUCUUAUCAGUUUAAUAUCUGACACAUGCUCUAUCUGAGAACAAUAUAUUACAUAAAUUUUUGUAAUAGGGUAUUAGAAUAGGAACUGGCUCCAUCCACUCCAAGCAUCAACCUGGUAUUGCAGUGCUUCCAGAAAUGGUGUACAAAAA